UACGUAGGGGGCUAGCGUUGUCCGGAAUCAUUGGGCGUAAAGCGCGUGUAGGCGGUCCGGUAAGUCCGCUGUGAAAGUCGGGGGCUCAACCCUCGGAUGCCGGUGGAUACUGUCGGGCUUGAGUCCGGAAGAGGCGAGUGGAAUUCCUGGUGUAGCGGUGAAAUGCGCAGAUAUCAGGAGGAACACCAAUUGCGAAGGCAGCUCGCUGGGACGUUACUGACGCUGAGACGCGAAAGCGUGGGGAGCAAACAGG
rnacentral:rRNA from 1 species